GUAUUCCCAUCAGUAUUUGGUUUGUUAUCCGGAUUUGUUUCAGUUAAAUCGAUUUGUGACCAUUGAACAGCGGUAUACUACUGUUGCCUUUAUACAAUACAUUUUGACACAAAUUAUUAAAAAGAUCUACGGAAUUUAAUUUAUACCCCCUUUUUAUCUUAAUGUUGUAUGUUUCCUGAUUUUAAGUAGUUAUAGAGACAUUAUGUUCUUAUUACAUGUAUGUUACAUUUGUAAGUGUUUUGAUUUUGGUUGGUUGCAUUUAUUAUCCUUUGAGAAAAGAGAGGUAUACGAUCUGUCGUUCAAUAUGCAAGACAGUUUAAUUGAGUUUUCCUCUUGUUUGAAAGCGUUUUAUGAUAUAUUAUUCUCUAUUCUAAUGCAAUUUGUAUGUUACCUUAUGGAACUCCUUUUUUUUCUUUUUUUCUUUUGUUCUUUUGUUCUUAUUUUCUUUACUUCAAUAC
rnacentral:lncRNA from 1 species